UUAAUUAAUUAAUCAUACUUGGUUAAACAGGCUAUCUGUUGAGAAGCUAGCUUCCACUGUGCUUUGGAAACUCUCCACUCCAUGCAGCUAUACUGAAACGGAAUCCUGAUUGUCUUAUGUAGGUGUUCAUUCAAUUAUUUCUUUGAUUCUUGCUUUCAUUUUGGACCGUGCUGCUCAUCAUCACAGGACCAUGGCUACUCCACCUGCCUCGCCUCCUCCUCCUCUUCCUCCUCC